rnacentral:tRNA from 1 species
GCCCCUGUAGUUUAAUUAAAAUUUUAAUUUUGUAAAUUAAAGAUGUCAGCCAGGGGUA